rnacentral:misc_RNA from 1 species
GAUGAAGAACGUAGCGAAAUGCGAUAAGUAGUGUGAAUUGCAGAAUUCAGUGAAUCAUCGAAUCUUUGAACGCACAUUGCGCCCCUUGGUAUUCCAUGGGGCAAGCCUGUUCGAGCGUCAUUUGUACCUUCAAGCUCUGCUUGGUGUUGGGUGAUUGUCUAUCUUUAUAGACUCGCCUUAAAGUCAUUGGCAGCCGGCAUAUUGGCCUGGGAGCGCAGCACAAGUCGCGCUUCUUGUCAUGAAUGUUGGCGUUCAGUAGGUCUACAUAUUUUGCUCUUGACCUCGGAUCAGGUAGGGAUACCCGCUGAACUUAAGCAUAUCAAUAAGCGGAGGA